rnacentral:rRNA from 1 species
AGGUCUUGACAUACCAUUGACAGGCACAGAGAUGUGCUCUCCUUCGGGCAAUGGAUACAGGUGGUGCAUGGUUGUCGUCAGCUCGUGCCGUGAGGUGUUGGGUUAAGUCCCGCAACGAGCGCAACCCUCAUUGUUAGUUACUACCAUUCAGUUGAGGACUCUAAUGAGACUGCCAACGACAAGUUGGAGGAAGGUGGGGAUGACGUCAAAUCAUCAUGCCCUUUAUGACCUGGGCUACAAACGUACUACAAUGGCCAAUACAAAGAGAUGCGAAGCGGUGACGUGGAGCGAACCUCAGAAAGUUGGUCUCAGUUCAGAUUGAAGUCUGCAACUCGACUUCAUGAAGGCGGAAUCGCUAGUAAUCGCGGGUCAGCAGACCGCGGUGAAUACGUUCCCGGGUUUU